rnacentral:rRNA from 1 species
UACGGGGGGGGCAAGCGUUGUUCGGAAUUACUGGGCGUAAAGGGCUCGUAGGUGGCCAACUAAGUCAGACGUGAAAUCCCUCGGCUUAACCGGGGAACUGCGUCCGAUACUGGGAGGCUUGAAUCCGGGAGAGGGAUGCGGAAUUCCGGGUGUAGUGGUGGAAUGCGUAGAUAUCCGGAGGAACACCAGAGGCGAAGGCGGCUUCCUGGACCGAUUCUGACACUGAGGAGCGAAAGCGUGGGGAGCGAUCCGG